rnacentral:rRNA from 1 species
CCUACGGGUGGCAGCAGUGGGGAAUAUUGGACAAUGGGGGGAACCCUGAUCCAGCCAUGCCGCGUGUGUGAAGAAGGCCCUCGGGUUGUAAAGCACUUUCAGUGAGGAAGAACGCCUGGUGGUUAAUACCCAUCAGGAAAGACAUCACUCACAGAAGAAGCACCGGCUAACUCCGUGCCAGCAGCCGCGGUAAUACGGAGGGUGCGAGCGUUAAUCGGAAUUACUGGGCGUAAAGCGCGCGUAGGUGGCUUGAUAAGCCGGUUGUGAAAGCCCCGGGCUCAACCUGGGAACGGCAUCCGGAACUGUCAAGCUAGAGUGCAGGAGAGGAAGGUAGAAUUCCCGGAGUAGCGGUGAAAUGCGUAGAGAUCGGGAGGAAUACCAGUGGCGAAGGCGGCCUUCUGGACUGACACUGACACUGAGGUGCGAAAGCGUGGGUAGCAAACAGGAUUAGAUACCCUAGUAGUC